UGGUCUCUAUCUCCUGCUGUUCCUGGUUGGACCUGCGACCUGACUGAUGGCUUUGUCAUUUUCAGGGUUGCUGACGGAUCUUGCUGUGGUUCACCCUCAGCCUUGGCUUGACCUUAUUGCUGGAGCAGCCCUGCUCUUGUUCCUCCUUAGCAUUCCCUCUGUGAUAAAUGAUGCUCAGUAACAAGGAGGACUAAUGCCACUGGAGUUGGUGGAGUGCUACUGCAUCUCAUUAAAGAGCUUGGUGCUGUUGUUAUGCAGCUCUGAUGGGAGUAGUUGCAAAGAUCUGAGCAAACUACUGCUCUGUGGAUGAGAUGUGAGUUUCGGUAGAGAUGCUUCAGCUGCUUUUGGGGGCAGACAAAGAAGAAACCGCUUCUGGGGUUGAAGCAGUUAUGAAAAAGCUGUUUGGAGGACAAAAUAGGGUAGAUUGGGAGAGCCUUUUCUGUUCUGACUCUGAAUAUCUUGUAGGCUUAAAUAGAAAAUACAAAAGGCAUGAAGAAGAAAUACACUCUGCACUUGUGGUCUUCAUCUGUGUAAAUCCACCUCUUCUUCCACUGGAUGUAGAUGACAGAGCAUCGCACCAGAGAAGUUUAGACAGGCAGCAAGAGAGUUCUGAGGCACAGAAGGGUUGAAACCACAGAGCUGGGCUGGGAUUUACCAUCAUCUCCCUACGAGGCACAGGGAAAGAAUCAUGGAAUCAAAGGAAAAGACCUUGAAGCUCAUCCAGUCCAACCAGCACUGCCAAGGCCACCACUAACCCAUGGCA